UAGGGAAUCUUCCACAAUGGACGAAAGUCUGAUGGAGCAACGCCGCGUGAGUGAAGAAGGGUUUCGGCUACGUAAAACUCUGUUGUUAAAGAAGAACAUAUCUGAGAGUAACUGUUCAGGUAUUGACGGUAUUUAACCAGAAAGCCACGGCUAACUACGUGCCAG
rnacentral:rRNA from 1 species